rnacentral:lncRNA from 1 species
AGUGGUAGGGAGUCCAAUUCGGAUUUGAAAUUAUGUUUUUUUUAGAUUUACACAUUGGUAUACGUGUGAGGUAUGGAUUAGUUGGAGAGCGGAUGGAUUUCGUCGCGAAUCCGUGGCAUAACGGAGUGAAACAAAAAUUGUAGUUUUGAUGUUCCCAUCGUGCUGAACGCGAUGGCGCAGUCGGAUCGAAAAUCCGACGGACGGAUUUCCGGUAACUGCAUAGUUUUCGCUAAGAUGUCGAAGGUGGCAAUUCGG